rnacentral:rRNA from 1 species
UGCGUAGGGUGCAAGCGUUUAAUCGGAAUUACUGGGCGUAAAGCGUGCGCAGGCGGUUGUGCAAGACAGAUGUGAAAUCCCCCGGGCUCAACCUGGGAAUUGCAUUUGUGACUGCACGGCUAGAGUGUGUCAGAGGGGGGUAGAAUUCCACGUGUAGCAGUGAAAUGCGUAGAGAUGUGGAGGAAUACCGAUGGCGAAGGCAGCCCCCUGGGAUAACACUGACGCUCAGGCACGAAAGCGUGGGGAGCAAACAGGAUUAGAAACCCGGG